rnacentral:tRNA from 1 species
GGUGGGGUGGCAGAGCGGCCCAAUGCGCCUGCCUUGAGAGCAGGUGUCCGAGAGGACUCAUGGGUUCAAAUCCCAUCCCCACCGC